rnacentral:rRNA from 1 species
CGCGUAGGCGGAUGUUUAAGUCAGAGGUGAAAGCCCAGGGCUCAACCUUGGAACUGCCUUUGAUACUGGACAUCUUGAGUAUGGGAGAGGUGAGUGGAACUCCGAGUGUAGAGGUGAAAUUCGUAGAUAUUCGGAAGAACACCAGUGGCGAAGGCGACUCACUGGCCCAUUACUGACGCUGAGGCGCGAAAGCGUGGGGAGCAAACAGGAUUAGAUACCCUGGUAGUCCACGCUGUAAACGAUGAGUGCUAGUUGUCGGCAGGCAUGCCUGUCGGUGACGCAGCUAACGCAUUAAGCACUCCGCCUGGGGAGUACGGUCGCAAGAUUAAA